rnacentral:lncRNA from 1 species
GCUUCCUAAGGCCCACUUGACUUCUCAUUCCAGGAUGUUUGGCUCUAGGUUGGUGGUCACACCAUUGUGAUUAUCUGAGUCAGAUUUUUCAGUAACUUUUCAUGGAAAAUUCAAAUGAACUUUAUGAUCAAUCCAAUAUAUACAUGCAUAUAUAUGUGUGUGUGUAUAAAUACAUGUAUGUCAGAAACAGUUAUAAUUAAAAAAAAUAAAGGACAAAAAGGUGGUCAAGGCUCCUAUAAUUUCAAUAUACCUUGCUACUUUCAGAGAGGCAGCAGUUUUGAAAUUAAGCAUCACUAGGUAAGGUAAAUAGAGAACUAAUUAGUAAUUCACUUCUUUAACCAGAUCUGUAUCUAUCAAUCUAUCUUCCUUUCAUUCUAAGUUUACCUUCUCCCAUUAUUGGACCACCAAUUUAUUUGUAACCCAGUGAAAAAUAGGUAUAGCAACCUGGGAUUUCAAUUUCCAAGCUUUUCUUUGAUCAACAGAAGAAAUGACAAAAUAUAAACUCCACACUACAGAUAUUUUGCAAAUAAUCUCAUUUUCUUUUCCAAGUACUGAGACUACCUUAAAAGAAUGUUGUCUUCUAAAUUCAAGAAUGGCUAAUAGCAAUGAGGAAAGUUAAUUUAGAUCCUAAUUGACUUUACCAGUGACUGCUGUAAACUGUGGGUGAUGUCAACUUUUAGAUAAAUAAAAGAUAAAAUUUAAUGAUUAAAGAAUAACUUUUUAUUCCCAUUAUCUAAGGAACAGACAACUUUCCAAGCGAAAGACUAGCCAGGGAAACAGAGGAGAAAACGGUUUCAGUAAACCGAGAGGAAAUAAAGGAGAGCAUGCCUGAUUAGGAAGAACUGACUGGUACAGAGCACACAUUCUCAGAGUGUUAAUAUUCACCACAGAUUAUCAACAUCACAAAGAUUUAUUAUGACAUCUGGAUAUACUGUGCCUAUUAUUUAAUGAACCUCAUGGAAAACUCACAAAUUAGGUAAGAAAAGGCUUAAAGCCAAAGUUCACUCAAGAAGUUAAAAUGAAAACAAAAAUAAUGAUUACCUCAAUUCUAUUCCUUUGCUUUGAUGACAUUUCAAAAUAAAAACUAUUACUUCUUCAGAAGUUACAUUUGAUUAAGCAAAGGACAUCUUGAACUUUUAUCCUAAUUUUAGUGAGGGGAAAAUGAUCAUUAGUCUUAUGUCACUUUAAUCUUAUGAACUAGAAAUAGCUAGAAAACAGAACACUACUCUGUACAUAUAUACUUUACAAUAAUGGAUGCAAUACCUGGGAAACAAAUAAUUAAAAACUGCAGAAUUUACACUUAAUCUUGCUGUAUACCAGUUCAGUUCAGUUCAGUCGUGUCCCACUCUUUGCGACCCCAUGAAUUG